rnacentral:rRNA from 1 species
GACGAACGCUGGCGGCGUGCCUAAUACAUGCAAGUCGAACGGUCUUUUCUAUGGAAGCUUGCUUCCACUGAGAAGAUAGUGGCGAACGGGUGAGUAACACGUGGGUAACCUGCCCAUAAGAGGGGGAUAACAUCCGGAAACGGGUGCUAAUACCGCAUAGUUUUUCUGAUCGCAUGAUUGGGAAAGGAAAGACGGCCUUUGUGCUGUCGCUUAUGGAUGGACCCGCGGCGUAUUAGUUAGUUGGUGAGGUAACGGCUCACCAAGACGAUGAUACGUAGCCGACCUGAGAGGGUGAUCGGCCACAUUGGGACUGAGACACGGCCCAAACUCCUACGGGAGGCAGCAGUAGGGAAUCUUCCGCAAUGGACGAAAGUCUGACGGAGCAACGCCGCGUGAGUGAAGAAGGUUCUCGGAUCGUAAACUCUGUUGUCAGAGAAGAACAAGUCGGAGAGUAACUGCUCCGGCCUUGACGGUAUCUGACCAGAAAGCCACGGCUAACUACGUGCCAGCCGCCGCGGUAACAC